rnacentral:rRNA from 1 species
GACGAACGCUGGCGGCGUGCUUAACACAUGCAAGUCGAGCGGUAAGGCCCUUUCGGGGGUACACGAGCGGCGAACGGGUGAGUAACACGUGGGUGACCUGCCCUCAGCUCUGGGAUAAGCCUGGGAAACCGGGUCUAAUACUGGAUAUGACUCCAUGACGCAUGUUGUGGGGUGGAAAGCCUUGUGCGGCUGAGGAUGGGCCCGCGGCCUAUCAGCUUGUUGGUGGGGUGANGGCCUACCAAGGCGACGACGGGUAGCCGGCCUGAGAGGGCGACCGGCCACACUGGGACUGAGACACGGCCCAGACUCCUACGGGAGGCAGCAGUGGGGAAUCUUGCGCAAUGGGCGAAAGCCUGACGCAGCGACGCCGCGUGAGGGAUGACGGCCUCGGUUG